CUGGGGCAGGGGAGACAGAUGCUGCGGCUGCCCCCCCCUCAGUGGACUUUCUCCCACCCGGCUGAUUGUGCAGAAGGAAACACACAAAGGCCCAUUUUCUCCUCGCUUCCCGUUUUCCCACUGGGGAGACCCUGUUACAGGCAGCCAGAGUCUGGCCAAGCAACCAGUUCGGGACCAUGAGAAGCUGCCGCUCACACCGACCCCAGCCCAGGGCAGCUUGGUGCCUGCAAGCAGUGCCUGCCGCAGGGUCUACAGCUCAGGACGGAGAGACCAGCCCCGCACAGGCCCCGGAAGAAGAUUGUCUUGUCUCCUUGGCUGCUCGGUAACUCCGGCUCUCGUACACGGAUGGGGAACUCGUUGCUGCAAAUUGUCACCAAGCUCUUCAGGCUACCUGAACCCUCUCUGAGAGUGCGAGUGGCUGCGUCGGGCUGGUGAUGGCUCCGAGGAAGAGGCCGGGGCUGGCAGCUGUCUGGGUACCCACUCUAGGUGGAACCCGGAGGUAGUUAAC